GCCGAAGUGGUGAAAUCGGCAGACACGAUUGACUCAAAAUCAAUUGCUCGAAAGGGCGUGUGGGUUCAAGUCCCACCUUCGGCA
rnacentral:tRNA from 1 species